UACAGAGGUCCCGAGCGUUGUUCGGAUUCACUGGGCGUAAAGGGUGCGUAGGUGGUGAGGUAAGUCGGAUGUGAAAUCUCCGGGCUCAACCCGGAAAUGGCAUUGGAAAACUACCUUGCUGGAGGAUUUGAGGGGGGGAUUUGGAAUACUUGGUGUAGCAGUGAAAAUGCGUAGAUAUCAAGUGGAACACCAGUGGCGAAGGCGAAUCCCUGGAAAAUACCUGACACUGAGGCACGAAAGCUAGGGGGGAGCAAACAGG
rnacentral:rRNA from 1 species